rnacentral:rRNA from 1 species
CCUACGGGUGGCAGCAGUGGGGAAUAUUGGACAAUGGGGGCAACCCUGAUCCAGCCAUGCCGCGUGUGUGAAGAAGGCCCUCGGGUUGUAAAGCACUUUCAGUGAGGAAGAACGCCUGGUGGUUAAUACCCAUCAGGAAAGACAUUACUCACAGAAGAAGCACCGGCUAACUCCGUGCCAGCAGCCGCGGUAAUACGGAGGGUGCGAGCGUUAAUCGGAAUUACUGGGCGUAAAGCGCGCGUAGGUGGCUUGAUAAGCCGGUUGUGAAAGCCCCGGGCUCAACCUGGGAACGGCAUCCGGAACUGUCAAGCUAGAGUGCAGGAGAGGAAGGUAGAAUUCCCGGUGUAGCGGUGAAAUGCGUAGAGAUCGGGAGGAAUACCAGUGGCGAAGGCGGCCUUCUGGACUGACACUGACACUGAGGUGCGAAAGCGUGGGUAGCAAACAGGAUUAGAUACCCUAGUAGUC